GAACACAGGCUAUCCGACCUGG
rnacentral:miRNA from 1 species